UUACAAGCAUUCAACUCAUAUAUUACACUUUACAUCACAUUUUACAAUCUUUGAUUCUUACAUUAGCUUUCACUUAACUUCUGAAUACAAUCCGAUUUAACAUGAAUAUUACAACUUGAUUCUUUUUAUUAUUUACAUCCCUAAGUAAAGCCGACUCAGGGUACCGCCAUCUCUGAUUUCGGUGGUAUGGCGCUAAUUACGGAGCUACGCCCUCGCCUCGCGUCGCAGCGCCGCUCACGUGUGACCCUGUACCCCCAAAAACAACA
rnacentral:lncRNA from 1 species